rnacentral:rRNA from 1 species
AUUGAACGCUGGCGGCAGGCCUAACACAUGCAAGUCGAGCGGAUGAGAGGAGCUUGCUCCUCGAUUCAGCGGCGGACGGGUGAGUAAUGCCUAGGAAUCUGCCUAGUAGUGGGGGACAACGUUUCGAAAGGAACGCUAAUACCGCAUACGUCCUACGGGAGAAAGUGGGGGAUCUUCGGACCUCACGCUAUUAGAUGAGCCUAGGUCGGAUUAGCUAGUUGGUAGGGUAAAGGCCUACCAAGGCGACGAUCCGUAACUGGUCUGAGAGGAUGAUCAGUCACACUGGAACUGGGACACGGUCCAGACUCCUACGGGAGGCAGGAGUGGGGAAUAUUGGACAAUGGGCGAAAGCCUGAUCCAGCCAUGCCGCGUGUGUGAAGAAGGCCUUCGGGUCGUAAAGCACUUUAAGUUGGGAGGAAGGGCUCAUAGCGAAUACCUGUGAGUUUUGACGUUACCAACAGAAUAAGCACCGGCUAACUUCGUGCCAGCAGCCGCCGUAA